AGAGUUUGAUCAUGGCUCAGGACGAACGCUGGCGGCGUGCCUAACACAUGCAAGUCGAGCGGGGACAUUGCGGCGGAGACGAAGUACUCGUACGGAGUCAAAGAUGUAAUGUUCUAGCGGCGGACGGGUGAGUAACGCGUGAGCAACCUGUCCCUUACAGGGGGAUAACACAGCGAAAGUUGUACUAAUACCGCAUGAGACCACAGGAUGACAUCAUCCAGGGGUCAAAGGAGCAAUCCGGUAAGGGGUGGGCUCGCGUCCGAUUAGAUAGUUGGUGAGGUAACGGCCCACCAAGUCGACGAUCGGUAGCCGACCUGAGAGGGUGAUCGGCCACAUUGGGACUGAGACACGGCCCAAACUCCUACGGGAGGCAGCAGUGGGGAAUAUUGGGCAAUGGGGGAAACCCUGACCCAGCAACGCCGCGUGAGGGAAGAAGGUUUUCGGAUCGUAAACCUCUGUCCCAGGUGAAGAGGAAGAGACGGUAGCCUGGGAGGAAGCCCCGGCUAACUACGUGCCAGCAGCCGCGGUAAUACGUAGGGGGCGAGCGUUGUCCGGAAUGAUUGGGCGUAAAGGGCGCGUAGGCGGCCCGGUAAGUCUGGAGUGAAAGUCCUGCUUUUAAGGUGGGAAUUGCUUUGGAUACUGUCGGGCUUGAGUGCAGGAGAGGUAAGUGGAAUUCCCAGUGUAGCGGUGAAAUGCGUAGAGAUUGGGAGGAGCACCAGUGGCGAAGGCGACUUACUGGACUGUAACUGACGCUGAGGCGCGAAAGUGUGGGGAGCAAACAGGAUUAGAUACCCUGGUAGUCCGCGCGGUAAACGAUGGAUGCCCGCUGUUUGCCAUUUAUUGGUGAGCGGCCAAGCGAAAGCGUUAAGCAUCCCACCUGGGGAGUACGCCGGCAACGGUGAAACUCAAAGGAAUUGACGGGGGCCCGCACAAGCGGAGGAACAUGUGGUUUAAUUCGAUGAUACGCGAGGAACCUUACCCGGGCUUGAACUGCAGCAGAACGAUUCAGAGAUGAUGAGGUCCUUCGGGACUGCUGUGGAGGUGCUGCAUGGUUGUCGUCAGCUCGUGCCGUGAGGUGUCGGCUUAAGUGCCAUAACGAGCGCAACCCCUUUCCAUAGUUGCCAUCAGGUUAUGCUGGGCACUCUGUGGAUACUGCCGCCGCAAGGUGGAGGAGGGUGGGGAUGACGUCAAAUCAGCACGGCCCUUACGUCCGGGGCUACACACGUGUUACAAUGGGCGGUACAGCGAGUUGGUGUCUGGUGACAGUCAUCUAAUCCUGAAAGCCGUUCCCAGUUCGGAUCGGGGUCUGCAACCCGACCCCGUGAAGCUGGAUUCGCUAGUAAUCGCGCAUCAGCCAUGGCGCGGUGAAUACGUUCCCGGGCCUUGUACACACCGCCCGUCAAGCCAUGAAAGCCGGGGGCGCCUGAAGUCCGUGACCGCGAGGGUCGGCCUAGGGUGAAACCGGUGAUUGGGGCUAAGUCGUAACAAGGUAACCGUA
rnacentral:rRNA from 1 species